CGCAGGGUGGAGAAGCGGUAUCUCAUCGGGUUCAUACCCCGAAGAACGCGGGUUCGAUUCCCGCCCCUGCAACCA
rnacentral:tRNA from 1 species